UACGGAGACCUCGAGCGUUAUCCGGAAUCAUUGGGCGUAAAGCGUACCGAUCGGUGGUCUAGUAAGUCUAUUGUGAAAGACCGAAGCUCAACUUCGUGUUUGCAAUAGAUACUAUUAGACUUGAAGAGUAAAGGGGUUGCUGGAACUCUGCAAGUAGCGGUGAAAUGCGUUGAUAUGCAGGGGAACACCAAAAGCGAAGGCAGGCAACUGGGUACUUCUUGACACUGCUAGGACGAAAGCGUGGGUAGCGAAUGGG
rnacentral:rRNA from 1 species